rnacentral:rRNA from 1 species
AUCCAAUGAACUAAAGCGGACGGUGGAGACCUAGGCACUCAGGGCCGAAGAAGGGCGUAGUAACCGACGAAACGCUCCGGGGAGCUGGAAACGAGCUUUGAUCCGGAGAUUCCCGAAUAGGGCAACCUUAUAGACUUCUUUUUCAAUUCAUAUAAAAGAAGAGGGAACCCGGUGAACUGAAACAUCUCAAUAGCCGGAGGAAAAGAAAGCAAACGCGAUUCCCUUAGUAGCGGCGAGCGAAACGGGAACAGCCUAAACCAAUUAUUUGGUACUCAACAGAGUCCUAAAAUUGGUGUCGUGGGAUUAGCGAAGCGGUAUACCAAAAUCUCUUUUCUUUAUCGGAGAAGAAUGAAUUUGGGUAUCUCUUAUUCUUGUUUAAUACUAAUACAGUUAAAGAAAAUAAAUCAAUGACUAAAUUAAGACGAAGCAGCUGAAUCCUGCACCAUAGAUGGUGAAAGUCCAGUAGCCUUAAAUAGAAAAUUUUGAUCAACGUCUAAUCCCGAGUAGCAUGGGACACGUGGAAUCCCGUGUGAAUCAGCGAGGACCACCUCGUAAGGCUAAAUACUCUUGAGUGACCGAUAGCGAAAAGUACCGUGAGGGAAUGGGUAAAAGAACCCCUGCAGGGGAGUGAAAAAGAACAUGAAACCGUCCGCUGACAAGCAGUGGGAGGAAAAGAAUUUCUGACCGCGUGCCUGUUGAAGAAUGAGCCGGCGACUUAUAGGAAGUGGCGUGGUUAAGGAAUGACAUCCGGAGCCAGAGCGAAAGCAAGUCUGAAUAGGGCAUUUGUCACUUCUUAUGGACCCGAACCCAGGUGAUCUAACCGUGACCAGGAUGAAGCUUGGGUAAAACCAAGUGGAAGGCCGGACCGACCGAUGUUGAAAAAUCGGCGGAUGAGUUGCGGUUAGCAGGAGAAAUUCCAAUCGAACUUGGAGCUAGCUGGAUCUCCCCGAAAUGUGUUGAGGCACAGCGGUAACGAUGGGCUACCUUUGGGUAAAGCGACUGUUUUGGUGCGGGCUGCGAAAGCGGUACCAAGUCAUGGCAAACUCAGAAUCAAAGGUAAGGCUUUCCGUGAACCAGUGAGAAUGUCGGAGAUAAGUUUGACAUUCAAGAGGGAAACAGCCCAGAUCACCAGCUAAGGCCCCUGAAUGGCCGCUAAGUGGAAAAGGAUGUGGGGAUGCUCAAACAACCAGGAGGUUUGCUUAGAAGCAGCAACCCUUGAAAGAGUGCGUAACAGCUCACUGGUACAAGCGUUCUUGCGCCGAUAAUGACCGGGACUAAGCGGCCUGCCGAAGCUGUGAGAUAUGAUUUGAUCUGAAUCAAUCUAUCGGUAGGGGAGCGUUCCGUUAUCGGGUGAAGCCAUGACGAAAGUCAUUGUGGACGAAACGGAAGUGAGAAUGUCGGCUUGAGUAACGAAAACAUUGGUGAGAAUCCAAUGCCCCGAAAACCUAAGGGUUCCUUCACUAGGCUCGUCCAUGAAGGGUUAGUCAGGUCCUAAGAUUAGGCCGAAAGGCGUCGUCGAUGGAAAUCAGGUUAAUAUUCCUGAACUGAUUGAAGUUUAAGGAUCCCGAGGGACGAAGAAGGCUAAGCUGGAACUGUUUAUGGAUUGCAGUGGAAACGUCCAAGGUUAUGAGAAAGAGAAUGAAAACUCUUUUGAGCUGAGGCGUGAUCCCGUUAGGAAUCGAAUCUUUGAUUGGAUUCCUCGCCAGCGAUGUCACACUUCCAAGAAAAGCUCGUUCGAUUCAUACUUCAACACCUGUACCAGAAACCGACACAGGUAGGUGGGUAGAGAAUACCUAGGGGCGCGAGAGAACUCUCUCUAAGGAACUCGGCAAACUGGCCCCGUAACUUCGGAAGAAGGGGUGCCCCUGCGAAGGGGUCGCAGUGACCAGGCUCUGGCGGCUGUUUACCAAAAACACAGGUAUCCGCAAAGUCGUAAGACAAUAUAUGGGUGCCGACACCUGCCCAGUGCCGGAAGGUGAAGGAAGUUGGUUAGGGGUUUCCUGAAGCUAACGACCGAAGCCCCGGUGAACGGCGGUUGUAACUAUGACAAUCCUAAGGUAGCGAAAUUCCUUGCCAGGUAAGUUCUGGCCUGCACGAAAGGUGUAACGAUCUGAGCGCUGUCUCGGAGAGAGACUCGGUGAAAUAGACUUGUCCGUGAAGAUGCGGACUACCUACACCAGGACAGAAAGACCCUAUGAAGCUUGACUGUAUCCUGGAAUGGGGUUCGGGCUCUUCUUGCGCAGCCUAGGUGGGAGGCGAUGAGGGCUUCCUUUCGGGGAAGUCGUAGCCAUCAUUGAGAGACCACUCUGGGAGAGCUAGAAUCCUAAUGGCGAUCCUUGAACCAGGACGCUUGAAAGUUUCAGGUGGGCAGUUUUUCUGGGGCGGAAAUCUCCCAAAAGGUAACGGAGAUGUGCAAAGGUUCCCUCAGUCUGGACGGAAAUCAGACAAUGAGUGCAAAGGCAUAAGGGAGCUUGACUGCAAGACCUACAAGUCGAGCAGGCUGGAAACAGGGCCUUAGUGAUCCGACGGUUCCGCGUGGAAGGGCCGUCGCUCAACGGAUAAAAGUUACUCUAGGGAUAACAGGCUGAUCUUCCCCAAGAGUUCACAUCGACGGGAAGGUUUGGCACCUCGAUGUCGGCUCAUCGCAGCUCAGGGCGGUAGUACGUCCUAAGAGUAAGACUGUUCGUCUUUUAAAGCGGUACGUGAGCUGGGUUCAGAACGUCGUAAGACAGUUCGGUCCAUAUCCGGUGUAGGCGCUAGAGUAUUGAGAGGAUCCUUCUAUAGUACGAGAGGACCUAUGAAGGACGCACCUAUGGUAUACCAGUUCUUGGUCCCCCAGGAAACGCUGGGUAGCUACGUGCGGAGUGGAUAACUGCUGAUAGCGUCUAAGUAGGAAGCCCACCUCAAGAUGAGUACUCUUCCGAGUAGAUAGUUUAUCGAAAGGUAUGAGGUCACGGCUAGACAAGCCGAUAAUAGGUGUUAGGUGAAAGACCAGCAAUGGUUUCAGCCGAGACAUACUAACGACCCAAUCAUUUGGAU